rnacentral:rRNA from 1 species
AUUGAACGCUGGCGGCAGGCCUAACACAUGCAAGUCGAGCGAGCGGUGGACGGGUGAGUAAUAUAUCGGAACGUGCCCAGUAACGGGGGCUCACUACUCGACCGAGUGGCUAAUACCGCAUACUAUUGGCGCGGCCGAAAUCGGAUUAGAUAGUUGGUGGGGUAAAGGCUCACCAAGGCCACGCUCCGUAGCUGGUUUGAGAGGCCGACCAGCCACACUGGGACGGAGACACGGCCCAGACUCCUACGGGAGGCAGCAGGGGGGAAUUUUGGACAAUGGGGUGAACCCUGAUCCAGCCAUCCCGCGUGUAUGAGAAGGCCUUCGGGUUGUAAAGUACUUUUAGCAGAGAAGCGGUAUCUGCAGAAUAAGCACCGGCUAACUACGUGCCAGCCGCCGCGGUAAUAC